rnacentral:rRNA from 1 species
ACCAGAAGUAGAAUAGUCUACCCUUUAGGGAGGGCGUUUACCACGGUGUGCUUCAUGAACUGGGGUUGAAGUCGUAACAAGGUAGCCGUAGGGGAACCUGUGGCCUGGAUCACCUCCUU